rnacentral:rRNA from 1 species
CAUGCAAGUCGAGGGGCAGCAUAAUGGUAGUAAUACUAUUGAUGGCGACCGGCGGACGGGUGCGUAACGCGUAUGCAACCUACCCUUUACAGGGGGAUAACACUGAGAAAUCGGUACUAAUACCCCAUAAUAUUCUGGGAGGCAUCUUUCGGAGUUGAAAGCUUUGGUGGUAAAGGAUGGGCAUGCGUUGUAUUAGCUAGUUGGUAAGGUAACGGCUUACCAAGGCGACGAUACAUAGGGGGACUGAGAGGUUAACCCCCCACAUUGGUACUGAGACACGGACCAAACUCCUACGGGAGGCAGCAGUGAGGAAUAUUGGUCAAUGGACGGAAGUCUGAACCAGCCAUGCCGCGUGCAGGAAGACGGCUCUAUGAGUUGUAAACUGCUUUUGUACGAGGGUAAACGCAGAUACGUGUAUCUGCCUGAAAGUAUCGUACGAAUAAGGAUCGGCUAACUCCGUGCCAGCAGCCGCGGUAAUACGGAGGAUCCAAGCGUUAUCCGGAUUUAUUGGGUUUAAAGGGUGCGUA